rnacentral:rRNA from 1 species
AGCGAACGUUUGCGGCGGGCCUAACACAUGCAAGUCGAACGCACUAGCAAUAGUGAGUGGCGCACGGGUGCGUAACACGUGGGUAAUCAACCCUUCAGCCUGGGAUAACGACUCGAAAGGGUCGCUAAUACCGGAUACGGCGCGAGAGGCUUCGGCUUCUCACGAGAAAGCCACGCAAGGGGCACUGAAGGACGAGCCUGCGGCCCAUCAGCUAGUUGGUGAGGUAAGAGCUCACCAAGGCUAAGACGGGUAGCUGGUCUGAGAGGAUGAUCAGCCACACUGGAACUGAGACACGGUCCAGACUCCUACGGGAGGCAGCAGUGGGGAAUAUUGCGCAAUGGGCGAAAGCCUGACGCAGCCACGCCGCGUGAGCGAUGAAGGCCUUGGUCGUAAGCUCUGUGGGGGAGGAAGAAGAAAGACCGGUGAAGAGCCGGCCCGUCGACGGUAUCCCUUACGCAAGCACCGGCUAACUCCGUGCCAGCAGCCGCGG